AUUCCAAUCGAACCCGGAGAUAGCUGGUUCUCCCCGAAAUAGCUUUAGGGCUAGCGUUGUGAGAAGAGUUAUACGAAGGUAGAGCACUGAAUGGGUGAGGGCCGCACCUCGCGGUACCAAUCUCAAUCAAACUCCGAAUGUCGUAUAAUAUGCGCAGCAGUAAGACUAUGGGUGAUAAGGUCCAUGGUCAAAAGGGAAACAGCCCAGACCGCCAGUUAAGGUCCCAAAAUUAUGCUAAGUGGGAAAGGAGGUGGAGUCGCUUAAACAACUAGGAGGUUGGCUCAGAAGCAGCCAUCCUUUAAAGAGUGCGUAAUAGCUCACUAGUCGAGUGAUUCUGCGCCGAAAAUGUAUCGGGGCUAAGCAUAAUACCGAAGCUGCGGGAUUAGAUGAAGAAUCUAAUCGGUAGGGGAGCGUACUAAGUGCGUAGAAGGUUGACCGGAAGGGCAGCUGGAGCGCUUAGCAGUGAGUAUGCCGGUGUGAGUAGCGAUAAGAUGGGUGAGAAUCCCAUCCGUCGAAAGCCUAAGGUUUCCAGGGGUAAGGCUCGUCCUCCCUGGGUAAGUCGGGUCCUAAGGUGAGGCUGAGAAGCGUAGCUGAUGGACAUCAGGUUGAUAUUCCUGAACCACCAUAAAACUGAAGGAAUGACGGAGGAGGCUAAUCAGAGCUGAUUAAUGGAUUUCAGUUUAAGUACAAAGAGGGUUACGUAGGCAAAUCCGCGUAGCAAAACCUUGAAGUAUGACGACGUAAGUCUGGUGAAGCCACACUUCCAAGAAAAGUUUCUAGGUGUAUUUUAUGGUGCCCGUACCGUAAACGGACACACGUAGGCGAGGAGAGAAUCCAAAGACGCGCGAGAUAAUUCUUGUUAAGGAACUCUGCAAAAUUACUCUGUAACUUCGGAAUAAAGAGGGCUCCCGUGAGGGAGACGCAGAAAAUAGGCCCAAGCGACUGUUUAACAAAAACAUAGGUUUCUGCUAAAGCGUAAGCUGAUGUAUAGGAGCUGACGCCUGCCCAGUGCUGGAAGGUUAAGAGGAGAAGUUAGUCGCAAGGCGAAGCUUUGAAUUGAAGCCCCAGUAAACGGCGGCCGUAACUAUAACGGUCCUAAGGUAGCGAAAUUCCUUGUCAGGUAAGUUCUGACCCGCACGAAAGGCGUAACGAUUUGGGCGCUGUCUCAACAAGAAACUCGGUGAAAUCAUAGUACCUGUGAAGAUGCAGGUUACCCGCGAUCAGACGGAAAGACCCCAUGGAGCUUCACUGCAACUUAAUAUUGAUAUUGGGUGUGUGAUGUACAGGAUAGGUGGGAGACAAAGAAGCGAGUACGCUAGUAUUCGUGGAGUCAACCUUGGGAUACCACCCCUCGCACAUUUAGUAUCUAACUAGUUUCCAUAAGCUGGGAAUAGAACAGUGUUAGGUGGGCAGUUUGACUGGGGCGGUCGCCUCCCAAAGAGUAACGGAGGCGCCCAAAGGUUCCCUCAGAAUGGUUGGAAAUCAUUCGAAGAGUGUAAAGGCAGAAGGGAGCUUGACUGCGAGACCUACAAGUCGAGCAGGGACGAAAGUCGGGCUUAGUGAUCCGG
rnacentral:rRNA from 1 species